AGCAGAGCUCAGGCCACAGCACCUGCACCCGUUUUCUGCUGCUGCACACAAGGGCUCUGUGCAUUCCGCAUCCAGAAGAUCUUAGAUUAGUAAGAUCAUGUUGGCCAUGGCAUGGAGAAUGGGCUGGAGGUGGAGAGACUGGAGGUUGGAAGUCCAGUUAGGAGAUUGCUCCUGCGCUGGGGAGUUGGUGUUAGGACAGAAGAUCCAAGACGCGUUUCAGAGAGCCCCUCUUCUUGGGCCUGCGAUUCCUCACCUGGAAGGGAGAAGAGUGGACUUCCUGCCUAGAGAACACCUUGGUAAACUCUUUGUGGUUCCUGUCAUGAGAAGGUGUGCAGCUUAGGGAAAAAGCCUGUGAGCUCUGGAAUCAGAUGGAACUGGAUAUGAAUUUCCAUUUAGUGCUUGUUGGAUUAAAUGUGAUGCUACCAACAGGGAAUUCAAAUUAGAACUACACCAGGAUGGCUGAAAGUGCAAAGACUGACAAUAUCAAGGGCUGGUGGGGAUGCAGAACAACUGGAACUCUCCUAUGCACUGCGGAAGGGGUAAAUUAAUACCGCCCCUUUGGAAGAACAGUUUAGAAGCAUCACUAAAGCUGAAUAUAUUCAUGCCUACUCCGGAAAUCCUGAGCCCAGUGGCUCCCUUUGAAGAACUGCCUUGGGGUUCAUGUUGCAGCAUCAAACAGGGAUGGAAGAUGCAUCUUGCUUUAGCAGCAGGAGCCUGGAAAGCAGCUGAAGCCCUGGAGGGUGCCUGGCACACAGAAUCUUGUGCUGAGCCCGGAGCACAAUGGGAGCGGGCUGGCGGGGUGGGUUCACAGCUGGACUGGGAGCAGCAGACAUACAGG
rnacentral:lncRNA from 10 species